UCAGCCUCUGGUGAAACUGGACUUUCAAGUCUGUGCAGGUGAAGGUGUGUGAGAGCGCCCGAGAUGGCAGAACAAGAGCUACAGGGUACAAGCCCGAGGGCUGAGCUGCGCGGUGAUUGGCUGCGGAGCUCCCUCAGGUGAGCUGCCAUUGGCAGAGGCGCACUCAGGUACUAUGUAGUUUACUGAUUUUCAGAUAGGCGAACACGCUCUCCUGAGCUGGAAGAUGAAGCGUUGGUGAGGUUCUGAUAAAGAAAGUCGAUUCUGGCGGAAUGGACACCUAAGAUGGCUCAGGCGCACCUCUCGGAUCUCCGCUCCGCAGCCUGGGAUUGCAGAGCUGCGAACAGCCAACUCACUGAAUGGGUUCCAUAAACCUGUUGCCAUUUGGACGUCUCUCGGCUAGCAUCAACAUUUACAUUGUAAUUCAAGAGAAGCAGCUACUACAAAGGUGCUUUAUCCUUGCAGUUUAGUAUGGUUGCUAGGGACACCACGCAGGAUGAAACUGACUUUCUUGUGGUUCUGUUUGUCCUGGCUGGGAGCAGCUAGAAUUAGCAAAGGUGUAAUUUAUAACCGCUGUUACUAAAGAGUGGAAGUUCUGACAGAGAUCUAGCCCAUACAGGUGGGCUGUGGAAAUAAAGAAGAGCACAGAACUCUUACCACAUUUUAUUUCAAGUUAAUACCAAAGCUACCAGACUUGCUUCAACUUAUACUGUAAAACUUUAUGGAUCACAUAGUUCCAAAAAAGCAAAUUAUGAAGCCGAGCGCAGGCGGCUCAUGGCUCAUGGUAAUCCUAGUUAUUUGGGAGGUUAAAAUCUGAGGAUCACAGUUCAAAGUCAACCCUAA